UACGUAGGAUGCAAGCGUUGUCCGGAUUUACUGGGCGUAAAGCGCGCGCAGGCGGCAUGGUAAGUAAGGUGUGAAAUCCAUCUGCUCAACGGGUGGGGUGCACUUUAGACUGCCAAGCUUGAGGUCGGUAGAGGGGGGUAGAAUUGCUGGUGUAGCGGUGAAAUGCGUAGAGAUCAGCAGGAAUACCCGUGGCGAAGGCGGCCCCCUGGGCCGUACCUGACGCUGAGGCGCGAAGGCUAGGGGAGCGAACGGG
rnacentral:rRNA from 1 species